rnacentral:rRNA from 1 species
UGGUGGAGUGAUUUGUCUGCUUAAUUGCGAUAACGAACGAGACCUUAACCUACUAAAUAGCUACUAGAAGCCUAGCUUUUAGGACAGCUUCUUAGGGGGACUUUGUAAGAAAAUUACAAGGAGGUUUGAGGCAAUAACA